rnacentral:rRNA from 1 species
CAAUCCAUGAGUACAGUGGGCGUACGGGUGAGUAACACGUGGGUAAUCUACCUUUUAGUGAGGAAUAACCCUGGGAAACCGGGGCUAAUACCGCAUAAGCCUGAGAAGGGAAAGCAGCAAUGCGCUGAAAGAGGAGCCCGCGGCCGAUUAGCUAGUUGGUGAGGUAAGAGCCCACCAAAGCAGAGAUCGGUAGCCGGCCUGAGAGGGCACACGGCCACACUGGCACUGAAACACGGGCCAGACUCCUACGGGAGGCAGCAGUGGGGAAUCUUGCACAAUGGGGGAAACCCUGAUGCAGCGACGCCGCGUGAGCGAUGAAGCCCUUCGGGGUGUAAAGCUCUUUCGUCAGGGAAGAUCGUGACGGUACCUGGAGAAGCAGCUGCGGCUAACUACGUGCCAGCAGCCGCGGUAAUACGUAGGCAGCAAGCGUUGUUCGGAGUUACUGGGCGUAAAGGGUGUGUAGGCGGUUCUUUAAGUUUGGUGUGAAAUCUCCCGGCUCAACUGGGAGGGAGCGCCGAAUACUGAGGGACUAGAGUACGGGAGAGGAAAGUGGAAUUCCUGGUGUAGCGGUGAAAUGCGUAGAUAUCAGGAGGAACACCGGUGGUGUAGACGGCUUUCUGGACCGACACUGACGCUGAGACACGAAAGCGUGGGUAGCAAACAGGAUUAGAUACCCUGGUAGUCCACGCCCUAAACGAUGCAUAUUUGGUGUGGGCAGUUCAUUCUGUCCGUGCCGGAGCUAACGCGUAAAUAUGCCGCCUGGGGAGUACAGUCGCAAGGCUGAAACUCAAAGGGAUUGACGGGGGCCC